UACGUAGGGUGCGAGCGUUGUCCGGAAUUACUGGGCGUAAAGAGUUCGUAGGGGGUUUGUCGCGUUGUCCGUGAAAACUCACAACUCAAUUGUGGGCGUGCGGGCGAUACGGGCAGACUGGAGUACUGCAGGGGAGACUGGAAUUCCUGGUGUAGCGGUGGAAUGCGCAGAUAUCAGGAGGAACACCGGUGGCGAAGGCGGGUCUCUGGGCAGUAACUGACGCUGAGUGAGCGAAAGCCAGGGGAGCGAACAGG
rnacentral:rRNA from 1 species